AACGAACGCUGGCGGCAGGCUUAACACAUGCAAGUCGAGCGCCCCGCAAGGGGAGCGGCAGACGGGUGAGUAACGCGUGGGAAUCUACCCAUCACUACGGAACAACUCCGGGAAACUGGAGCUAAUACCGUAUACGUCCUUCGGGAGAAAGAUUUAUCGGUGAUGGAUGAGCCCGCGUUGGAUUAGCUAGUUGGUGGGGUAAUGGCCCACCAAGGCGACGAUCCAUAGCUGGGCUGAGAGGAUGAUCAGCCACACUGGGACUGAGACACGGCCCAGACUCCUACAGGAGGCAGCAGGGGGGAAUAUUGGACAAUGGGCGCAAGCCUGAUCCAGCCAUGCCGCGUGAGUGAUGAAGGCCCUAGGGUUGUAAAGCUCUUUCACCGGUGAAGAUAAUGACGGUAACCGGAGAAGAAGCCCCGGCUAACUUCGUGCCAGCCGCCGCCGUAA
rnacentral:rRNA from 1 species